rnacentral:rRNA from 1 species
GCUUCACGGUCUUCGUCGCUUAUGUUGUUGGUAUCUUUGGGGUGUACUUUUUCGUAUGGUAGGCCAACAUCGAUUUUGAUCGUCAUAAAAUGAUCGG